rnacentral:rRNA from 1 species
CGUAGGUGGUUUGUUAAGUCUGAUGUGAAAGCCCUGGGCUCAACCUGGGAAUGGCAUUGGAAACUGGCUUACUAGAGUGCGGUAGAGGGUAGUGGAAUUCCCGGUGUAGCAGUGAAAUGCGUAGAUAUCGGGAGGAACAUCUGUGGCGAAGGCGACUACCUGGACCAGCACUGACACUGAGGCACGAAAGCGUGGGGAGCAAACAGGAUUAUAUACCCUGGUAGUCCACGCCCUAAAAGAUGCGAACUGGAUGUUAGAA